GAUGAACGCUGGCGGCGUGCUUAACACAUGCAAGUCGAACGGAAAGGCCCAAGCUUGCUUGGGUACUCGAGUGGCGAACGGGUGAGUAACACGUGGGUGAUCUGCCCUGCACUUCGGGAUAAGCCUGGGAAACUGGGUCUAAUACCGGAUAGGACGAUGGUUUGGAUGCCAUUGUGGAAAGUUUUUUCGGUGUGGGAUGAGCUCGCGGCCUAUCAGCUUGUUGGUGGGGUAAUGGCCUACCAAGGCGUCGACGGGUAGCCGGCCUGAGAGGGUGUACGGCCACAUUGGGAGUGAGAUACGGCCCAGACUCCUACGGGAGGCAGCAGUGGGGAAUAUUGCACAAUGGGCGCAAGCCUGAGGCAGCGACGCCGCGUGGGGGAUGACGGCCUUCGGGUUGUAAACUCCUUUCGCUAGGGACGAAGCGUUUUUGUGACGGUACCUGGAGAAGAAGCACCGGCUAACUACGUG
rnacentral:rRNA from 1 species